CAGUGGCAUCGGGCGAAGGCAACAUGCACCGGGUGGAUGGAGCACGAGUUUUGGCAAGGAUGGUACAACUUGGAUUUGUAGCUCGCAGAACCUAAUGUGGUCCUGCACCAUUGUCCUUCGUUCAUGUGGACACCAACCAUAAGUUAAUCAGAUUCUAUAGCUUGAUGCUGCCACCAACAACAAAGCCUCAACAGCAUUCUCCUUCUUCAUGAAUGGUGUCCCAAAACAUGGAUGGCCCUCAAGAGUGCGUGCUGACCAGGGAGUGGAAAAUGUUGACAUCGCACGAUGCGUGUUCUCUGUAUGAGGAACUGGACGUGGAAGCUUCAUUGCUGGCAAAGGUGUUCACAAUCAAAGAAUUGAGAGGGUGUGGUGUGAUAUGUGGUCAGCUGUCACUUCUCAAGUCUUAUCUGAAGUGCUUUAUGAGGAGUUGGA